GGUGGAAGGGGUGAGUCGGUAGGGCGUACGGCUACCAACCUAAAGGUUGCGGGUUCGAUUCCCGCCCAGCUUACAUCG